AGCAGCCGCGGUAAUUCCAGCUCCAAUAGCGUAUAUUAAAGUUGCUGCAGUUAAAAAGCUCGUAGUUGAAUUUCGGGACCAUCAUGUUGGUCGUGCCUCGGUACGUACUGGCAUUGUUGGUUUCUCCCUUCUGACGAACCAUGAUGUCAUUUAUUUGGUGUCGUGGGAAAUCAGGACUGUUACUUUGAAAAAAUUAGAGUGUUUAAAGCAGGCUCACGCUUGAAUACAUUAGCAUGGAAUAAUGAAAUAGGACGUUUGAUUCUAUUUUGUUGGUUUCUAGGAUCGACGUAAUGAUUAAUAGGGAUAGUUGGGGGCAUUAGUAUUCAAUUGUCAGAGGUGAAAUUCUUGGAUUUAUUGAAGACUAACUACUGCGAAAGCAUUUGCCAAGGAUGUUUUCAUUAAUCAAGAACGAAAGUUAGGGGAUCGAAGACGAUCAGAUACCGUCGUAGUCUUAACCAUAAACUAUGCCGACUAGGGAUCGGAUGAUGUUAAUUUUUUAAUGACUCAUUCGGCGCCUUACG
rnacentral:rRNA from 1 species